rnacentral:misc_RNA from 1 species
GAUGAAGAACGUAGCAAAAUGCGAUAAGUAAUGUGAAUUGCAGAAUUCAGUGAAUCAUCGAAUCUUGAACGCACAUUGCGCCCGCUGGUAUUCCGGCGGGCAUGCCUGUUCGAGCGUCAUUUCAACCCUCAAACCCCCCGGGUUUGGUGUUGGGGAUCGGCUCUGCCUCACGGCGGUGCCGCCCCCGAAAUACAUUGGCGGUCUCGCUGCAGCCUCCAUUGCGUAGUAGCUAACACCUCGCAACUGGAACGCGGCGCGGCCAUGCCGUAAAACCCCAACUUCUGAAUGUUGACCUCGGAUCAGGUAGGAAUACCCGCUGAACUUAAGCAUAUCAAUAAGCGGAGGA